rnacentral:rRNA from 1 species
AUUGAACGCUGGCGGCAUGCUUUACACAUGCAAGGCGAACGGUAACAGGCCGCAAGGUGCUGACGAGUGGCGAACGGGUGAGUAAUGCAUCGGAACGUGCCCAGUCGUGGGGGAUAACGCAGCGAAAGCUGCGCUAAUACCGCAUACGAUCUAUGGAUGAAAGCGGGGGACCGGAAGGCCUCGCGCGAUUGGAGCGGGCGAUGUCAGAUUAGUGAGUUGGUGGGGUAAAGGCAACCCAAGCCGACGAUCUGUAGCUGGUCUGAGAGGACGACCAGCCACACUGGGACUGAGACACGGCCCAGACUCCUACGGGAGGCAGCAGUGGGGAAUUUUGGACAAUGGGCGCAAGCCUGAUCCAGCAAUGCCGCGUGCAGGAAGAAGGCCUUCGGGUUGUAAACUGCUUUUGUACGGAACGAAACGGCUCUGGUUAAUACCUGGGGCUAAUGACGGUACCGUAAGAAUAAGCACCGGCUAACUACGUGCCAGCCGCCGCUGUAAGAC